UACGGAGGAUCCGAGCGUUAUCCGGAUUUAUUGGGUUUAAAGGGUGCGCAGGCGGGGGAUUAAGUCGGCGGUGAAAUUUUGCAGCUCAACUGUAAAAGUGCCUUCGAAACUGGUUUCCUUGAGUGUAGAUGAAGUAGGCGGAAUUUGUGGUGUAGCGGUGAAAUGCUUAGAUAUCACGAGGAACUCCGAUUGCGCAGGCAGCUUACUAAACUACUACUGACGCUCAGGCACGAAGGCGUGGGGAUCAAACAGGAUUAGAUACCCCGGUAGUCCCUGA
rnacentral:rRNA from 1 species